GAAAUAUGGACACCACUAUAAAGCCAUGAACGUGAAGAGUACACUGAUUUUUAUUUGGUAAAGAAAACAAAGUAUCACUGGAUUAAGGAUAUGGGCCAUACUUUUCUACCCUUCCAAAAGAUGUACUCUGCCAGGAUAUCAUCAGAAAGAGGAAAAUAAGGUAGAAAAUAACUUGUCAAUUUGCAGUGCUCAAUUAACCUUGCACCUUUUCCCUUGAAGUAAAAAAAUAAUAAUCUACACAUUUUAAGCAUUUCCCUGAACGAAGGAACCCCGCCAACGACAAACAACGUUAUUUUCCAAGACAGUAUUUUCUCUGUAUAUUAUUUCCAAAAGUCUGCUUUAAAUCCUACCCCACUACCCCUUCCACUGCUGAGGAACCUUAUUGUCCCAGGACUUGCUUAACCAGCGGUGAAAUUAGAUACUUCCUCCUGUUACUGCAACCCUGUGGUUAGUCCAUGCAUCCAUAGAAACUUGCUGGCUUCGCCCUUCUCUCCUCCCAGACCCAUUUGUCUUAGUUAAGCGGGUGAGACAUGGCCCUAAGUGACCUGGUCCCAAGUCAAUGACUCACUGUGUGGCCUUCACCAAGGUGCACUUCUGAACUGCAACAAUCUAUUCUGUGAAAUGCAAAAACCUCACAGAGUGACUACAAAAUAAAGAUUAAAUAAUAAUAAUAAUAAUAAUGACUCCAAAUUUGUUGAAAAGUUUGCUGUGGAGGUUUUGUUUUGUUUUGUUUUUGCUCGCUUAUAUUUCUGACUGCUUCACCCAAAUAAUUUCGACUAAUGCUACUUUUAAAUUUACAGUACAUCAGUAAAACCAGGAGAGGAAAAAGCUGAAAACUCAAAUUAUCCUGGACCAGUUCCAACACCUGGCACCCAAAACUAGGCCAAACAGGAAGGUCUGAGGGUGCUGAGGGUCAAACUUUGGUCAGCCUCCACUGGGAAGUUUUCUGUAGAUGUGCUACUGAGAACCCCUCUGUCCAUUGCCAGGAGGCCUUGGUCAGCAGUACAGUGGUACCUCGCAAGACGAAUGCCUCGCAAGAUGAAAAACUCGCAAGAUGAAAGAGUUUUUCGUUUUUUGAGUUGCUUCGCAAGACGAAUUUCCCCAUGGGCUUGCUUCGCAAGACGAAAACGUAUUGCAAGUUUGUCUCCUUUUGGAUUUUCAAUGCAUUCCUAUGGGAAACCGUGCUUCGCAAGACGAAAAAUUCGCAAGAACAAAAAACUCGCAGAACGAAUUAAUUUCGUCUUGCGAGGCACCACUGUACAUUUUGCCAAAGAGCCAAUGGAGAGAGGGAGUGGGAAGCGAAACCCAUCCACAGACUCCAAAUUGGUCUGUUGACAUUUCUACGGCUUCUGCUACAUCUGUUACUUUACAGCACCUCUUGCCUCGUGGCAAGGGGCGGUUCAGAUGGCAACCCAUCGUUUGUUUCAUUUAUGUCGUACCCUUCCUAUAAGUGUCUGAUUCAUUUUCCCCAUUGUAUCUGCAUAGCCUUGCAGGUGGGUUAUUAGACUGAGAGUGACUGACCCAAGGUUACCUGCUUAGCUUCGUUGCCGAGCUGGCAUGUGAACACAAGUUAUCACCAGGCCACACCCGACGCUAUUGAGUUGUGCUUGGAAUAUGACUGCUGGUGCUCGUGUCAAGUGUUCCCGAUGACGACUCCCAAUUUUUGGGUUCCUAAGUUGCUGCAGCAGCCUGUAACCGAUCCGCUAGUUGCUGUUUUGUUUCAUUUGCAAUCAAAGAGGUGUUAAAAUAUUUUGUUGCUAUAUAGGAAGUCAUGCAAGUGUUUGUACAAAGUCCUUUAUGGCCAAGGUUGAAUCACUCUGGUCUGCCCGAUUCAUAGCUCAAAAUAGUCCUGGAAAACAUUUAUGUACUUGAGGGGCAGGGAUCCAUGAACCUUUGAUCUUAGUAUCGCUUUGGAGCCUCAAACUCUAAGAAAGCAUUGCACAUUCCUGUGUAUGAAUUCUGGACUAAGAGAUGCAACACAUCAUUCCAC